UGCAUGCACGUCGAGCGCGCCUGCAUCGCUUCGGUGGUGCAGGAAAGCGGCAAACGGCUGAGUAACGCGUGAGUAACCUGUCCUUCGGUGGGGUAAAACCUCAAGAAAUCGGGGCUAAUACCGCAUGUGGUCCCUGUGCCUUGGUGCAGGGAAGAAAGCCUUCGGGCGCCGGAGGAGGGGCUCGCGUCCUAUCAUGGUAGUUGGUGGGGUAAAAGCCUACCAAGCCUAUGACGGGUAGCUGGUCUGAGAGGAUGAUCAGCCAGAGGGGGACUGAGACACCGCCCCCACUCCUACGGGAGGCAGCAGCAGGGAAUUUUGGGCAAUGGGCGAAAGCCUGACCCAGCAACGCCGCGUGGGGGAUGAAGGCCUAAGGGCUGUAAACCCCUUUUCCGAGGGAAGAGAUAGGACGGUACCUCGGGAAUAAGCUCCGGCUAACUACGUGCCAGCAGCCGCGGUAAUACGUAGGGAGCGAGCGUUACCCGGAUUUACUGGGCGUAAAGGGUAUGUAGGCGGCAAGGCAAGUCUUCUGUGAAAGCUCCCGGCCCAACCGGGAGAGGUCAGGAGAUACUGCCUAGCUUGAGGGCAGUAGAGGAGGGUGGAAUUCCUGGUGCAGCGGUGAAAUGCGUAUAUAUCGGGAGGAACACCAGUGGCGAAAGCGUCCCUCUGGGCUGUACCUGACGCUGAUGUACGAAAGCGUGGGUAGCAAACCGGAUUAGAUACCCGGGUAGUCCACGCCCUAAACGUUGGAUGCUAGGUAUAGGGGGGUAUCGACCCCCUCUGUGCCGAAGUUAACGCGAUAAGCAUCCCGCCUGGGAGAGUACGGUCGCAAGGCUAAAACUCAAAAGAAUUGACGGGGCGCCCGCACAAGCGGUGGAGCGUGUGGUUUUAUUUCGAUGCUAAGCGAAGACUCUUACCAGGGUCUUGACAUGAUG
rnacentral:rRNA from 1 species